CUUUUUAAAGAUAUGAAAAAGGAAAAUAUGAUGAUACCUACAAAAUACUCCCAAGACCUGUAGUUCUCAAAGAAGAUUUUAGUGAUGGAAAAGUCUCAGAGAAAAGGUCUAGAAACCAGAUCCCAGGGCCUGGAAUGUUUCUGUCUAGUCCCUAAGAUGCAUCUUUUCCUGUUACCAAAAGGUCUGAGACACCCAGUUGGUAAUCAGAAGCUCUUACAGGGAGCCUGGAAAGUAGCUGCAGACUCUUACGGCAUUUUUACUUCCAAGUAUGAGGCUGGAUCUUAAGAGGAGCCUAAGAUAAAGGUGUGUGUCUGUCCACCAGCUCUACCAAGUGCUAUGCUACACACUUCACUUGAGGAAAGCUGCCUGAGGGCUCCGUGUGCAGCGCAUUCAACAGCUGGCCCUUCCCCACCUGCAGGAGCUACAGUUCUGCAGAACUCAGAAUGACCCCUGCCUCUUCCCCGGGCAGGAAAUUAACCUGCUCCAAGGACCAGCCACUGAGAUAUUUGCUACAGUCAAGAUCUAUAUGAAUGUGUCUUUCUCUGAGUGCCUUUAAACAGCCACAGAAUCAGAUUACUCUCCUUAAAAGAUUUUUCAAGGAAUCACACAGUUUCUUACAAGUCUCUAAUGCAUAUACUCCCUCCAUUUGUUUUGUAACGUUUUGUUAUGCAAACUAAAAAUGUCUCCUUAUCUGAAGUACUUAGAAAUUUAUCUCCCUUCCACCCAUAUACGCUUAUUGUUGCUGCUUUUGUUUUCACAGAUUUUUUUUUCUAGUGUGUAACUCUUUCCCCUAUGAAAUGUAUUGCAUUUUAUGGUGCGAGGAAUGGUUCUAACUAGU